GAUCUUCCAGGAUUGCAUAUGCAGAGUGGCCAAUAUUCUGCCAGAUUAGGAGAGCAAGCUUGAUAGGAUGUCUAGGUGCUUAAAGCUUAAAGCACAGUG
rnacentral:snoRNA from 1 species